AGUGAACGCUGGCGGUAGGCCUAACACAUGCGAGUCGAACGGCAGCACAGGAGAGCUUGCUCUCUGGGUGGCGAGUGGCGGACGGGUGAGGAAUACAUCGGAAUCUGCCCAGUCGUGGGGGAUAACGUAGGGAAACUUACGCUAAUACCGCAUACGACCUUCGGGUGAAAGAGGGGGAUCGCAAGACCUCUCGCGAUUGGAUGAGCCGAUGUCGGAUUAGCUAGUUGGCGGGGUAAUGGCCCACCAAGGCGACGAUCCGUAGCUGGUCUGAGAGGAUGAUCAGCCACACUGGAACUGAGACACGGUCCAGACUCCUACGGGAGGCAGCAGUGGGGAAUAUUCGACAAUGGGCGCAAGCCUGAUCCAGCCAUACCGCGUGGGUGAAGAAGGCCUUCGGGUUGUAAAGCCCUUUUGUUGGGAAAGAAAUCUUUCAGGCUAAUACCCUGGGAGGAUGACGGUACCCAAAGAAUAAGCACCGGCUAACUUCGUG
rnacentral:rRNA from 1 species